GCACGAGAAUGAGGACAAAUUUCUCUCUUUAAUAAGAAAUGCAUAUCAUUUUUUUUUGUUUUGGGUUUUGGAGUUGGUUGGGGGCAUGGGGAGUAAGUUUCCAAGAAUGAACCUGUUCACAUGGUUUGUUACUGAUAGAAAUGGCUCAUACACAGGUGAUAAUGAUACAAUUACAAGCAAACUGUCCCAGCAUAUCUGUUGCACAAAAACUGUGGCUACUUCAGGACCACACAACAUAACAAUAGAAUUUAUAAAUAACUUAUUAUACCAUCUAAAAGUUGCAGCGGCAGAGAUGCUGCUUCAUAGCUGUGAACCUCACAUGCAGAAUGCUUAUUUCUUUCGGUGCCAAUAAAACAAAUAGUGGAGCGUGCUCAAGGAAUAGUGCUCCAUCUCACCAAAAAAUGAAAAGGAGAAACAAUCUUAUCCCCUCCACUAAGAUGACCGUUCAAACAAAAAGAAGAACACAUCUACAUCAACUUACAAACAGCGAGCGUCAUAUUCUAUAAUCCUUGAUGCUUCCUCAUUCAUCCUCCCCGUCAAUCAAUGAGAAUGAGAAAGGACUAAACUUAUAACCAUCUCCCUCAUAAAACUUAUUCUGGAACUCCACCCAGUGAAGUCGCAAUGCGUGUAGGAAGGCACUGAGAGUUUCCAUCACCAACAACACUCCGACAGUGGCAAAGAUGAAUACAAUGAUACCAAUGAUGAGAAUAAAGACAUUGUUGAACCUGAGGAGCAUAAAUAAAUAAAAAUAUAAUUGCAUUAAUAUUAAAUUAAUAUAUCUGUGAGAAAGCACGGGAGAAAAAUACGAUAUAUUGAUAUUAAACUACCAUUGUAUUAAUAUUAGAUUAAUAUAUCAAUAUUUCUUCUGGAAUAUUCUCAGCCCACUAUAUACCAGCUAAAUCCUAGGAGCAUUCAGGUUAUAUAUUGGACCCUACAAAAAUAUAAACUCGAUACAUAACAGGUCCUUACAGAGUCACAGAGAACCAAACCUGUACUACUUCCUAAGCCAAGAUUCACUGCAUAAGGUUUGAUCAAUUUGAACGAAUACAGAAAGCUAUUUGCCAAUGAACAUAGAAUGAGUGACUCACCCCCAGGCUAGAAGAAGAACC
rnacentral:lncRNA from 1 species